AUGAUGCUGUUUAUCAUAUCAAAGCAUGCUGAUUAAUGCUAGCAUUCAUUUCAAGUGUUCACCUGACCUGAAGAGCAUGAAUUGGUCUGUUUUUUUCACUCCUCUCCUAAGCAACGCAUGCUACAGCUUUGUGUUUGUGUUGUGUGCAGAUGCUGUGGCUUGCGCAAUCACAGAGCAAUAUUUUAUCCCAGAGGACUGGAUGGUUGUUUAUCUUCCUCUCAGUCUGCACAGGUUUACCUGAUUAAACAGAAAAAUUGCGUGUUUAGCAGUAUAGUCAGCGUACAGUUGGAUAGGUCAUGCUAUGGAAACUACAAAUGGAGAGACACAGCGGCCUCAUAGGCGCCAGUGGAGGAAGAGCGCUCAACGUUUUUCACGCAGGUUGCUCUGUUGCUCAUGUUUGUGCGGUGAGAAGGAUCCUCUGCAGGAGCAGGAAAAGGAGAUUAACGGAGGCCCUCUGCAUCCACACUUGGAUCAACUGGGAUCAGGUGAGAAGGAGGCUAUCCAGAUUACAGUGGAGGAUCUGGGGAUAGUUAACGCCGGCUUCAGCCUGUUUGAUGAGGACCCCUUGAUCCCGAGGAACAGUGUGGCCCGCUCAGCCAGCUCUGUGUCGGCCUGCCCAAGGGCUCUGAAAAAGAAACGACUGAAGCCUCUGUCCUCACUGCCUAUACAGCCCCAGGCAGAACCAGCACUGACUCCUAGCAAUGGAGAGGAUGAUGAACAAGAAGAGGAAGACCUGUUGCUGUAUCAGAGCGGCACUGAUAGCACGCCUGCUUCUGGAAGCCUCCUGACACCACCUGUCAUCAAUCUGAUCCCACCCACUCCCUCUGAUGUGGUGGAUGAUUAUCAGUUCUUUGAAAUAAACUCAGAGGAAAGUGUGGCACAAACAUCUGGGAGUGACGGAAGCUUUGCUGCUGAUGACCAGGAGAGCUAUGAGGACAAAAUGGAGAAUGUGGAGGCAGAGGAGUCAAAGGAGGGUUGUAUCCUGGCUGAAAGGAAAGACCAUGGUGAUAGUGAAGCUGAGCCUGAAGAAGGCCAAAGUGAUGAAGCUGGGGAGCAAAGUCAGGCUGUACUAGUUAAGAAGGGGGAUACAAAGAAAACAAAUCCUGGGUUCUUCUGUAGCAGCUACCAGGUGGCUCCUCUCCCUGGGUACCCUCAGAAAAGAAGCUGCAACACUGGAAUAAAUCUUUUUUCAUUUACUGAGCACAACCUGGAUGACCCAAGCAACAGAGAUUUGAGCUGCUCCGACAUGCUGAAGGCUGAACUUUGCUUGCUUCCUCAUGCUGCCACGAUGGACGCACCUAUGCACCAUAGGCGGCAAAUAACCCGCUCGUGCAGUCUUGGGGACUCACUGACUAGGAGCGCCACUUUCCACGGUUUAACCCAGACCACAGACCAACCCAGCAAAGAGGAGGGGCGGACUCGACAGCGACGCAUAACUGUCGCAUCAUAUAUGCCUGAUUCUAAGGAUCAGAAUGGAAACUUCCCCGAGAAGGACAGAAAAGGGCAAGAGGCCAAAUCUCUCAAGGAGCUGAAUACAGAAGAAGUCUGCCAGUGGUUUACCAGUAUUGGACUGCAAAAAUGUCUCCCCUUCAUCAAAGAAGCGAAACUGUGUGGAGCAGACAUAGCCUCGGUGGAUGUGAGCACUCUGGACAUCCUCCAGAUCAGCACACUGGAAGACAGGGAGCAGCUGCUGUCAGCCAUCUAUAAUGAGCUUCACCCUCCGAGCACCACCGCUCAGAGAAUCGACUCUUUGCUCGAAUCCUUAGGGCCAAAUACCGUGGAGACAUUCACGUCCACUCUGGGGUCAAUGACCAAGUCCAAGUCUUCUCCUCAUGUGAGCUGCCUGAGUAUGAAUCGACGUUCCCUCAGAAACAGCAGCCAAAAGAAUACGGCACAGAGAAAUUCACAUCUAAUAGAAAUUACUAUUAAUGCAUCAGAGCGUAUAGUUCAUCUCAGAACGCCAAAGGAAACAACAGUUGGAAAAAUCAUGGAGUCGUGUGUUAAAAUGCUGGGAGUGACAGAAGAUAAGAGCCUGUUCACAAUGAAAGAAAAGCAAGGUUCACCUGAGGAGCUCUCACUAGAUCAGCAGAUCGGGACUUUACUGACAUCAUCAUCAUCAUCGGAGAACAGACAGCUGGAGUUGUACUUGUGUAAAACGGACAAACCAGCAGGUUCAGCCACCCAAAAUAGUGCAGAAGUAAACAGUUCCAGCGAAAAUGGCAGCAGCAACAACCAAAACAUCCAGCCACCUAAAGAAGAAAGAAUCAGGGAACUAAACCAACAGGUUGACUCGCUCCAGAAUGUCAUCCUUCAGGUCCAGGAGCUCCACCACGGCCUGGUUGCUUUUUGCUCCGAGUUAAAGAACAUGGAUGGAGAUGUGAAGUUGGACAAACUUGGGUCUGCUGAGCUGAAGCAGAAGCUGGAUUUGGUUCACAGCCAACUGAACGACAAAAAGCAGAACCUGCAGACCCUCAGAGACAACAUUAACAACUUUACUGCUCACAAGAAGAAACAGCUGGAGGUUCGUCUCUUGGAAAAGAUGAAGCUGAACUGCCAAGUGUUCAAGGAGGAAAUUUCCAUCGUACAUCUCAACCGACAGGCGGCUCACCUUCAAAACGUCUUACAAGAAAGCUAUGUUAAGGAGAAAGCUCAAAAAAAGACUUUGGCCAUUGGUAGCCUGAGCCAGCUGGUGUCACCACAGUCUCCAGCCAUGCUGCUGGUUGUACAGGAGAACCAGAGCCCUGAUGGCCAUUAUGGGUUCAUAUGUCGCUACAGGGAAGAAGGCGGACUAGUGGUAGUCAAGGUGGACAAUUCUCACCUCUGCGUGGAUGACAGAUUGGUGGAGGUGAACGGUGUACCGGUUGUCAACUCCACACAGGAAGAGCUGACUGACCUCCUGCUGCAGGGACCCAGUGCUCAAAUUGUUGUCCUUCGCCAACCCCCGCCCAGCCUCACCUCCCCUCUGUUCCUGCAGCAUACGGUCAGCCCUGAUCCCGUGCAAACAGUCUGCCCAGAGGGAGAUGCAGUCACCAUGGAAACCCCUCCACAGCGUAAGGUGAUGGCCAUCUGAUGAUUACAAGGAAGAGAAAAAAAAGACUGAGAGAAUUGCGAUGAGAAAAGUCUGCAGUCUUAUAGUUUUUUACCUCCAUAUGUGAACAUGCUUAUUGUACUGGUGAAAUGUUUCUCAUUGAUUGUUGACAAUCGCCUUUUAGUUAGAAAUGUCAUGACUGUGUUUUUCACCAUAGGUACAUAACUUUAUUCUUGGUAGUCAGUAAUGUAUAACAGAUAUUGUUUCAAUGUUUGCACAGAGCAAUGCCUUUAAAAAACAAAUAACUCAAGCAAAGACUACAUUCAUUUUUUUUCUAUUUAGAGUUCUCCUUGUUUUAUAUUAUCUAUUUUUUUUUUUUUUUGCCAUGGGGGAACAUGGAAAGUACAAAGCCUCACAAAGUUUUGCUCAACUGGAUAUGUGAUAAGCAUUUCCUUCUUUUUAAGCAUCCAGCAAAGUAGUUCCUGAGGUAUAACAAUGUAAGCCUGAUGAGCACUCUGAAUGCCUCAUCUCUUUUAAAGCAGAGACAGAAGUGGAUAGAAUCUGAAAAUAUGUGACAUAAUGUAAAAACACAAGCUUUUGCAUCCUGUCUGCAAGCUUUCUCUGCAGAUCUGACACUAAGAUGGUCUGGAACAAUGUUCAGGGCAGAACAUUUCUUAAAAAAUGAG
ensembl:lncRNA